UAGUGGCUGACGUAUAUAAUCUUCUACCUGAUAAAAAAUAUAAAAUAUAUAAAUAAAUUUAUUUUAGAACAAGUGAUCAUUUUAACAUGGUAUCAAAGCAGCACAUUUGACAAGCACACAAUUUUUAUAGGAACUACGAAGAAAAUCCAACAGGCGCGCAUAAAAUCUUUUACCAUCACCGAUUAGUUGGCAGGAAAUUCAGUUAUUAUCCGUAGACCGUAGUAGCUCCACUUUGGCUGCAACACUAGCAAGUUCGAGAAGGUAGAAGUACAUACAGAGCACACUAAAUAUUAGAACAGAACUAAAUUAGAGCUCCAGAAGAUACGCAAGACGUAGCCUAAGCACACGAGAGAGAACCCCAGUUUGGCUGCAACACUAGCAGGUUCUAGAGGGUGGGAGCUCGUACAGAGCACACUAAAUAUUAGAACAGAGCUAACUUAGAGCUCCAUGACUUCAUGACCGUCACGAAUCAGAUAGAGACGCAAGACGUAGCCUAAGCACACGAACACAACCUAAAACAGUUCAUAGCUUCCUCGUGUAGCCAUUUGAUCAUGGUACACCCGCGUUGCCCCCUGCAAGCCCACCUUGGGGAAGCCCUGGCACAUCACCGAAGCCCGGGAAGGCACCGCCGUAGUCUGGUUGUCCGAGCCCAAACCCAGGUUCGAGGCCUGAGCCUCCACCAAAGCUGGGGUUGCCAAAGAAGCCUCCAUAGGCUCCAGGGAUGGGCUGAGGCUGAGCUGGUCUGGGCUCGCUCUUGAUAUUUCUUCCUUCAAGAACCCCAACCGAGGUGGCAAGAAGGAUCAGCACCAUUGUCUUGGUCUACUUCUCCAUGUUCGCUUCUCUAACUCGAUGUUGC
rnacentral:lncRNA from 1 species